rnacentral:rRNA from 1 species
GCGCAUGGUGGAUGCCUUGGCAACAGGAGCCGAAGAAGGACGUGGGAAUCUGCGAUAAGCCUGGUGGAGUCGAUAACCGGACGUUGAGACCAGGAUUUCCGAAUGGGGAAACCCCGCACGACGUGUCGUGUGACCCCCGGUUGAACACAUAGACCGGGUGGAGGGAACGUGGGGAAGUGAAACAUCUCAGUACCCACAGGAAGAGAAAACAAAAGUGAUUCCGUUAGUAGUGGCGAGCGAACGCGGAUGGGGCUAAACCGUAUGUGUGUGAUACCCGGCAGGGGUUGCAUGUGCGGUGUUGUGGGCCCCUCCUUGUCAUGUCUGCCGGCAUGGCGCAGUGAGGUGCGGGCAUAUAGACGAACCAGUGUGGAUGCUGGACCGUAGAGGGUGAGAGUCCCGUAGUCGAAAUGUGUUCCGCCGCUGUUGGAGGGUUGCCCGAGUAGCACGGGGCCCGAGGAAUCCCGUGUGAAUCUGCCAGGACCACCUGGUAAGCCUGAAUACUACCUGUUGACCGAUAGCGGAUCAGUACCGUGAGGGAAUGGUGAAAAGUACCCCGGGAGGGGAGUGAAAUAGUACCUGAAACCGUGUGCUUACAAUCCGUCAGAGCCUCUUUUGUGGGGUGAUGGCGUGCCUUUUGAAGAAUGAGCCUGCGAGUCAGCGGCAUGUCGCGAGGUUAACCCGUGUGGGGUAGUCGUAGCGAAAGCGAAUCCUAACGAGGGUGUUUUUUAGUGGCAUGUUCUGGACCCGAAGCGGGGUGAUCUACCCAUGGCCAGUGUGAAGCAGCUGUAAGAGGUUGUGGAGGCGCGAACCCACGUAGGUUAAAAACUGCGGGGAUGAGCUGUGGGUAGGGGUGAAAGGCCAAUCAAACUGGGAGAUAGCUCGUACUCCCCGAAAUGCAUUUAGGUGCAGCG